rnacentral:misc_RNA from 1 species
GAUGAAGAACGUAGUGAAAUGCGAUAAGUAAUGUGAAUUGCAGAAUUCAGUGAAUCAUCGAAUCUUUGAACGCACCUUGCGCCCUUUGGCCAUUCCGAAGGGCAUGCCUGUUUGAGUAUCAUGAACACCUCAACUCUUUAUGGUUUUCCAUGAUGAGCUUGGACUCUGGGGGUUUUGCUGGCUCACAGUCGGCUCCUCUAAAAUGAAUCAGCUUACCAGUGUUUGGUGGGUAUCAUGGGUGUGAUAACUAUCUACGCUUGUGGUUUUUCCACCAGGUAACCUUCAGCAGUGGAGGUUCGCUGGAGCUCAUAGAUGUCUCUCCUCAGUGAGGACAGCCCUUUGAAUGUUUGAUCUCAAAUCAGGUAGGACUACCCGCUGAACUUAAGUAUAUCAAUAAGCGGAGGA